rnacentral:rRNA from 1 species
UAGUACGGCGAGUAAGCGGAAAGAGCUCAAGCUUAAAAUCUCCGUGCAAGUUUUGUGCGGCGAAUUGUAGUCUAUAGAAGCGUGGUCAGCAUGGGCACUUGGGGCAAGUUCCUUGGAAGAGGACAGCAUGGAGGGUGAUACUCCCGUUCAUUUCUGAGUUGCUCGUGCGUACGACCCGUUUUCUUUGAGUCGCGUUGUUUGGGAAUGCAGCGCAAAGUAGGUGGUAAAUUCCAUCUAAAGCUAAAUAUUGGUGCGAGACCGAUAGCGAACAAGUACCGUGAGGGAAAGAUGAAAAGAACUUUGAAAAGAGAGUUAAAGAGUACCUGAAACUGCUGAAAGGGAACCGAAUCGUUUCCAGUGUCUAUAAUCCGUGGUAUAUUUCAUUGGCGAGUGUGUGCGUGCGUGUGCUGUGGCAGCGGCUUUUUUGGCUGCGCUCGGCGUGUGUGCUGUGUGUGCUUGCUGGUGCUCUGUGCUGCGGUGGGACGUCAAGGUCAGUUCGUAUGCUGCGGGAAAUGGCUGCCGAGGAGGUAGGGCUUACGCUUGCGUUUGUCUGUUAUAUCUUGGUGGACGAGUAGUCGCGGUUGGGACUGAGGUGCCUACAACGUGCUUUUGAGUGGGUUUGUGUCUCCGUGUGCGCCGUGUGCGGAUAGCUUGCUAUGCGUGUGUGGUUGUGUGUGGAU